rnacentral:lncRNA from 1 species
ACAAAUAAAUUAUGAUCAAUGUUUUGAUAACUCUGAAUGAAUAGCAAGUCCUAGAACCAGAGAACUGGAUGUUCAAAAGAUAAAAUAGAAACUUUCAUCUGUAAGUCUCCUCCAAGAUGGGUUGAUGCCAUACAUCAAAUGACAAUAUUGCUAGCAGCUUGGCUUCCUAAUUGGAACACAUUACCUUCGGGUUAAGAACAGCUCACAGAAUAAUAAUAACUACUACUUGCCUUACCAACAUUCAACAACCACAAUAUGCAACAUCAAGGCAAAUCUGUGUACUUGAACCAUGACAACCAACAAACCUUCACAGUAGUUCAGGGUGUCUUUAGGUCAGCCAGGUUACCUUGACAAAUAUGGUUCACAGCAAUGGUACUGACUCUUUUUCCUUUUCUUUGAUCAUGGAGAUCCUUUUUAGAUUCUCAUUGCCAAGCAAUAUACAGAACUGCCUGAUGGUCUCCCUUGUCUAACCACUCCAUUCUCAUGGGACCAUAUGUGAGACUUCCACAUCAUACAGCUUUGUCCUGAACACCUUCCUGCUUGAUCUUCACUCAAGUAGGACUGCUAUUUGUCUGAUUGGUUCAGAAUCUAAAUUUAGAAAUAUUAUUUGAAAAACCCAAAUUUGUUAAUAAACUCAUUUCAUCAGCCUCAGCAUCCUCAAAAUUAAGCCAAGAAAAACAUGCAGCAUUUUUGCACAGUUGACUAGUCAGAUGCCUACAAUCUUUCUUGACACAACUGACAUAGAUGAAAACAUCUGAGAUAAACACACCUUCCCUAAUCCAUGAAAUGAAGCAGGCUACUGCUUUCAAGGGCAGGUUUAACCAUGCUUGAAAGUCAAAAAAGAUGGAGGCUACUACAGGUUUGACCAACUUGGCAUGUUCAUGUGCCUUGGUGCCACCACUGAAAGUAGAAUGUCUGCUACAAACGAAAUUUUGAAAUUAAAUAGAUGAAACAUAUGCUGAUUAGUAUCAUAAGCUCUAAAAAGACUUAGCCACGGGCCUUUAUAUGUGUAUGUGUGUGUGUGUGUAUAUAUAUAUAUAUAUAUAUAUAUAUAUAUAUAUAUAUAUAUACUACUACUACUACUACUACUACUACUACUACUUCUAAAGCCACCAUUCAGUGACUCCCUAAAAGACAAGUAGAGUUCAAGUGACAUAUAGGGAGGCUACAAAAUAAUGACUUGAGAACACUUGCUCAAACAUUUGGUAGGCGUUUCCUUUGAACAAAUUAAAUCGAUUUAAAUAUGAAUAAAGAACUAGGAUUUCCCAGGGAGAAAAAGCACAACGCAGUCGCGAAAUCAAAUAUCGAUAGCGCAUUAAAAACAAUAAAAUGCCUAGAUUAAACCACAAGAAAACAGGAAAAAAGAAUAAAAUAAUCCAUCACGAGGAAUCUCGAAGUCAAUCCGAAGAAGUUUCCAGCUUUUCUUAGAUCAUAGGCAGAAACUUUUCGAUUGAUCUACAACAGAGUAGAAACUUCAUUUAGGACAGAAGAGGAGAGACACCGAAAUCAGAUCAAAACAAAAACCUAGGUUUUCCAGGCAACGAACACAAGAUCCGAUCUCGAUGGCAGGCAAGAUAUUGGCCUGCAGAGACGACUUCUUGGUCCAUCACUACGCUGGAGAGACGGGGAGAGGGGGAAGGAGGACGCAUGGCUCGAGCAACGGAUCGCGGAGCUCGGAUUGAAAACUACCGAAGGCAUCACGGAUGAAUGAGUGAACAUUAGAUCAGAGUUCGCUUGGAGUACGGUUUUGCUCUCCUCACGGAUCCAUCCGCCGCUUCGAGAGCCGCCCCUCCCCACCCUAAACCCUAUCUCUUCUACCGUUCGACGGACGGUGGGUCGCAUCAAAUUUAAGCUGUGGUUGACGGGAAAGAGGCAACCUAAACCUUCA